rnacentral:rRNA from 1 species
AGCAGCCGCGGUAAUUCCAGCUCCAAUAGCGUAUAUUAAAGUUGUUGCAGUUAAAAAGCUCGUAGUUGAAUUUCGGGGUCUGUCCAUUGGUCGGGCUUCACGGUCCGUACUGGUGUGAUGGGUUCCUACCUUCUGAAUAACCAGCAUGCCAUUUAGUUGGUGUGCCGGGGAAGCAGAGCUAUUACCUUGAAAAAUUGAGUGCUUAAAGCAGGCUAGUGCUUGAAUAGAUUAGCAUGGAAUAAUAAAAUAGGACGGCAUGGUUCUACUUUGUUGGUUUCUAGGAUCACCGUAAUGAUUAAUAGGGAUAGUUGGGGGCAUUAGUAUUCAAUUGUCAGAGGUGAAAUUCUUGGAUUUAUUGAAGACUAACUUCUGCGAAAGCAUUUGCCAAGGAUGUUUUCAUUAAUCUAAGAACGUAAAGUUAGGGGAUCGAAGACGAUCAGAUACCGUGUAGUCUUAACCAUAAACUAUGCCGACUAGGGAUCGGACGAUGUUAAUUUUUAACUGUACCUUCGUUCGGCGC